rnacentral:rRNA from 1 species
CCCCUAGAUGUUCUGGGCCGCACGCGCGCUACACUGAUGCAUUCAACGAGUCUAAAACCUGGUCUGAUAGGGCUGGGUAAUCUUUUGAAUGUGCAUCGUGAUUGGGAUAGAUGAUUGCAAUUCUUCAUCUUCAACGAGGAAUGCCUAGUAAACGCAAGUCAUCAGCUUGCAUUGAUUGCGUCCCUGCCCUUUGUACACACCGCCCGUCGCUCCUACCGAUUGAAUGUUCCGAUGAAUACCAUGGACUGAGAGUAUGAAUGGGUUCGCCUAUUUCUGCUUCUCGGGAAGUGGAGUAAAUCUUAACAUUUAGAGGAAGGAGAAGUCGUAACA